rnacentral:rRNA from 1 species
UGUGACCUCAAAUCAGGUAGGACUACCCGCUGAACUUAAGCAUAUCAAUAAGCGGAGGAAAAGAAACUAACAAGGAUUCCCCUAGUAACUGCGAGUGAAGCGGGAAAAGCUCAAAUUUAAAAUCUGGCAGUCUUUUGGCUGUCCGAGUUGUAAUCUAGAGAAGUGUUAUCCGCGCUGGACCAUGUACAAGUCUCCUGGAAUGGAGCAUCAUAGAGGGUGAGAAUCCCGUCUUUGACAUGGACUUCCAGGGCUUUGUGAUGCGCUCUCAAAGAGUCGAGUUGUUUGGGAAUGCAGCUCAAAAUGGGUGGUAAAUUCCAUCUAAAGCUAAAUAUUGGCGAGAGACCGAUAGCGAACAAGUACCGUGAGGGAAAGAUGAAAAGAACUUUGGAAAGAGAGUUAAACAGUACGUGAAAUUGCUGAAAGGGAAACGCUUGAAGUCAGUCGCGUCGUCCAGGGAUCAACCUUGCUUUUGCUUGGUGCACUUCCUGGUUUGAUGGGUCAGCAUCAAUUUUGACUAUUGGAAAAAGGUUAAGGGAAUGUGGCAUCUUUGGAUGUGUUUAUAGCCCUUGGUCACAUACAAUGGUUGGGAUUGAGGAACUCAGCACGCCGCAAGGCCGGGUUUUAAACCACGUACGUGCUUAGGAUGCUGGCAAUAUGGCUUUAAUCGACCCGUCUUGAAACACGGACCAAGGAGUCUAACAUGCCUGCGAGUGUUUGGGUGAAAAACCCGAGCGCGUAAUGAAAGUGAAAAGUUGAGAUCCCUGUCGUGGGGAGCAUCGACGCCCGGACCAGACCUUUUGUGACGGUUCCGCGGUAGAGCAUGUAUGUUGGGACCCGAAAGAUGGUGAACUAUGCCUGAAUAGGGUGAAUCCAGAGGAAACUCUGGUGGAGGCUCGUAGCGAUUCUGACGUGCAAAUCGAUCGUCAAAUUUGGGUAUAGGGGCGAAAGACUAAUCGAAC